rnacentral:rRNA from 1 species
UACGUAUGGUGCAAGCGUUAUCCGGAUUUACUGGGUGUAAAGGGAGCGCAGGCGGCGCGCUAAGCCUGGUGUGAAAGCCCGCGGCCCAACCGCGGGACUGCAUUGGGAACUGGCGCGCUGGAGUGCCGGAGGGGUAGGCGGAAUUCCUAGUGUAGCGGUGAAAUGCGUAGAUAUUAGGAGGAACACCAGUGGCGAAGGCGGCCUACUGGACGGUGACUGACGCUGAGGCUCGAAAGCGUGGGGAGCAAACAGG